rnacentral:rRNA from 1 species
GGAAUGACUAGCUUACUGAAUCAUAGAAUUUCUUUAAAUUCAUGAUGUCGUAAGGGAAAAUAAUGAUAUUACCUUACUAUGAGUGUCGUCCAAAGCUGGUGCCAGAAGACUCGGUAAGACCAGAGACGCAAACGUUAAUCAUCUUAAACAGGCGUAAAGGGUUUGUAGGCAGCUUUCAUAAUAUUAUUUCUUACAAAAAUAAAGAAGUGGUCUGAUUGAAAGCUAGAAUCAAAAAGAGGUUAUAGUGUAUAACGCCUAGAGGAGGGCUGAUAUCCUUAGAUCCUAGGCAGAAUACUUAGGGCGAAGGCCACUCUCCACUAAUGAUUGACGCUGAGAAACGAAGGUAAGGGUAGGAAAUAGGAUUAGAUACCCCGGUACUCCUUUCUGUAAACGAUGAAUGGUAGUCAUUAGUAAAAUUAACUAGAGACGAAGUUAACACAAUAACCAUUCCGCCUUGUGAGUACUACUGCAAAGUAGAAAACAAAAAAAUUAGUCGGUCUCGAAGCAAACGGAGUGAAGCAUGUUAUUUAUA